AAAACAACCCUUCCGCCAGAGGACUACUAGCAACAAGCUUAAAACUCAAAGGACUUGGCGGUGCUCUACCCCACUAGAGGAGCCUGUCCUAUAACCGAUACUCCCCGAUCCACCCAACCUCUGCUAGCCAAGAACAGCCUAUAUACCGCCGUCGACAGUUUAUCUUACAAAAGACCAAAAAUAAACAGAAUAGCCCCCCGCUAAAACGACAGGUCAAGGUGUAGCUUAUGAAGAGGAAGAGAUGGGCUACAUUUCCUACCAACCAGGACAGACGAAAAAUAUCACGAACACGAUAUUAAAAGGUGGAUUUAGCAGUAAAAUAAGGA
rnacentral:rRNA from 1 species